rnacentral:rRNA from 1 species
UGGGGAAUAUUGGGCAAUGGGCGAAAGCCUGACCCAGCAACGCCGCGUGAAGGAUGAAGUAUUUCGGUAUGUAAACUUCGAAAGAAUAGGAAGAAUAAAUGACGGUACUAUUUAUAAGGUCCGGCUAACUACGUGCCAGCAGCCGCGGUAAUACGUAGGGACCAAGCGUUGUUCGGAUUUACUGGGCGUAAAGGGCGCGUAGGCGGCAAUUCAAGUCAUCUGUGAAAUCUCCGGGCUUAACUCGGAACGGUCAGAUGAUACUGCUUUGCUAGAGUGCAGAAGGGGCAAUCGGAAUUCUUGGUGUAGCGGUGAAAUGCGUAGAUAUCAAGAGGAACACCUGAGGUGAAGACGGGUUGCUGGGCUGACACUGACGCUGAGGCGCGAAAGCCAGGGGAGCAAACGGGAUUAGAUACCCGAGUAGUCCCUGAGCGGGCUGGCAAGGCGCAU